AUGGGUGCAGGCAGCCAGCUGUUGCUGAAAACUGUCACUCUUCCAAUUUUGAGUGCUCUGAAUAGUCAAAGGUUUGUGCGAAAUGAAGCCACAUUGCAACUCCCUGACUUUUUCACUUGGGGCAGUUUCCAAAGCAUAGACCACAACAUCCCCUGAGUCUAAUGAAGAGGAAGACAAAUAAACAGAAGGCACAUGAUAAAAUGAAAGCUCCAUGAGAAUGGCAGACAAGCCAAAGUUUAACCAAGAAAGGAUGGACACGGUCACCAAGUUGGCGCUUGUCUUGAAAGUAUCUCAAGAAUGCGCGUAAAACAAAAGCAAUACCUUCAUCUCACGGGCAGCAGCAGAGGAAGAAGGCUGUGUGGAUGCUUCUUUUAUGGUAGAGAGACUCUGAAGCAGA